GGCAAGGGGAGGAGGAGGGCUGGAGCAAGGCAUUGUGGGAGUGGGAGAGGAAGGCUCAGUCCAGCUUGGCCUAGUUCCUGGGGGCAGAAAAAGCCCCAAGGGAUGAAAGGGGGGCUUCUUUUAUCUCACCUUCUAGAGGCAAGGAGGGGGCGCCCCUCUUCAGCAACCCUGGCCUGUAUUCUAUGCACACUUUCUGUUAGGGUCCCCCAGGCCAGGGGUGGGGGCCCAGAGGCACUGCAAUAAUCUCAGCGUGGAGGGUACCCAGGGACAAAGAGAACAGCACCAGGUGGGCAAAGGAUAUCCCUCCGUUUCCCCAGCACCCCAAUCCCAGAAGCUAACCCAGCCUAAUGGAACCUUCUUCUUGCCUCUCUCCACUGGGCUACACCACCCAGCUCCACGGGGCCUCAUAUGAACCCCCAUGGCUUUCCAAACCAGUCAUCAAAUAGUGAAGGGCCCUGAAGCAUUCCCAGGCUUCCCCAGGGUCCCACAGUUCAGGGGAUUCAUUUCUUGAUGAAGGAUUCAUUUUGCCACCUUAAAUUAACUUUGAGCUUCUGGCUGUGGGUAAAUGCUCCCAAGGCCUCAAGUUAGCUUCCAGGGCUUGAGGGUAGCGGAAUUUCUGUAUCCUAUUGGAUCGCUUAGUACGAAAUUCUCAAAAGCACUCAUGGAUGCCCUUUCCGGUCUCCAUAGACCCUCAGGCAGGAUCCGGGACCCCAAGUUGAGAAUCAGUGGCUUAAUUAUCCAGCAUCCUACUUUCUUUACAGAAGGGGCAGUUCCAGAGAUAGGAGGUGAUCUUCCCAGGGUCACACAGCAAAUUGGUGGCAGGGUGGGCCCAGACCCAGGUCAUAUGGGAAGGGAUCCCACCAGAAUACCCCCAGCUCCGAUCCCUGCUACCUUUUCUCCAGGAACCACUAGCCAUGCCUGAGGGACUGAUUUCCCUCUGUCAAUCAGCACAAUCCUGGUGACUCUCUCCUCUGUGUUCUUCCUUCCCUCCCUCUGCAGCCCCCACCCUGCCCACUGUUUCCUAUUCCUGGCCGCCUCUGCCCACCCCGUAGUUACUACAUCUGUGCCAUUCCCAAUCCUCCCACUCCCACUCGCCCUUCUGAGCUUCCCCCAGGAGGGGGAGGGGAGCCCAAGCUGGGGCUUCUGUACUGAGACUCUUUUGUACACCACAAACUUUUUGUAUAUUUUUAAUUUUGCUGCAACAUGAGAUAUUAAAAG
rnacentral:lncRNA from 1 species